rnacentral:rRNA from 1 species
UACGUAGGGUGCGAGCGUUAAUCGGAAUUACUGGGCGUAAAGCGUGCGCAGGCGGUUCUCCAAGUCCGUUGUGAAAGCCCCGGGCUCAACCUGGGAAUGGCAAUGGAUACUGGCAAGCUAGAGUGCGGUAGAGGGUAGUGGAAUUCCCGGUGUAGCGGUGAAAUGCGUAGAGAUCGGGAGGAACACCAGUGGCGAAGGCGGCUACCUGGACCAGCACUGACACUGAGGCACGAAAGCGUGGGGAGCAAACAGG